CUGGCUCCUGGGAGAUACUGAAUCUAAUAUUCAUAAUUGUCUUGUGAGGAAACAGUGCUUCUGCAUUCCACAGGUUUCUUUUCCUUCUGUAGGAGUCUGGAAACUGGAUAAAGAUGGGAAAGGACUGGGAAAGGAACCUCAGCGGCUGCCAGGACCCUAAACUUACAUGUGUACGCAUUCCCCUAUCUGCUCAGAACUCCCCUUUGAUGAAGGAUCUGAAGAGAGGCCAGAAAUGCUACUUUUACAGCAUUAUGAAAAUAUACGACAGCAAAGCACCGAGGGAAAUGUUGCACCGCCGGUAUGCGAUCAAUCUGCAGUGCCAGAAUGUGCUGGUGACAUCUCUAAACUUGUGUGAUAAAGAUGAAGACAAGAAGGGCAGCCCUCUUGUAGGAAUAACAAAUAUGGACUGAACACUCCAAGUGGUAGCAGAAGGUAGACUGACUUCUUAUUGCAAGUCCAAUAUGGGAUUUCAUAUGUAUUUGUCAAAUUAAAAUUUGCAUGCAUUAAAAUGAUGUAUAUGAA